UACAGAGGUGGCAAGCGUUGUUCGGAUUCACUGGGCGUAAAGGGUGCGUAGGUGGCCGGGUAAGUCUGACGUGAAAUCUCCGAGCCUAACUCGGAAACUGCAUCGGAUACUAUCCGGCUCGAGGGUUGGAGGGGGGACUGGAAUACUUGGUGUAGCAGUGAAAUGCGUAGAUAUCAAGUGGAACACCAGUGGCGAAGGCGAGUCCCUGGACAACUCCUGACACUGAGGCACGAAAGCUAGGGGAGCAAACAGG
rnacentral:rRNA from 1 species